GACGAACGCUGGCGGCGUGCUUAACACAUGCCAGUCGAACGGAAAGUCCCUGCUUUUGUGGGGUGCUCGAGUGGCGAACGGGUGAGUAACACGUGAGUAACCUGCCCUUGACUUUGGGAUAACUUCAGGAAACUGGGGCUAAUACCGGAUAGGAGCUCCUGCUGCAUGGUGGGGGUUGGAAAGUUUCGGCGGUUGGGGAUGGACUCGCGGCUUAUCAGCUUGUUGGUGGGGUAGUGGCUUACCAAGGCUUUGACGGGUAGCCGGCCUGAGAGGGUGACCGGCCACAUUGGGACUGAGAUACGGCCCAGACUCCUACGGGAGGCAGCAGUGGGGAAUAUUGCACAAUGGGCGGAAGCCUGAUGCAGCAACGCCGCGUGCGGGAUGACGGCCUUCGGGUUGUAAACCGCUUUCGCCUGUGACGAAGCGUGAGUGACGGUAAUGGGUAAAGAAGCACCGGCUAACUACGUG
rnacentral:rRNA from 1 species